rnacentral:lncRNA from 1 species
AAUAGCAGGGCUUUGUUUGUUAUUUCCUGGAAAUGUUUGUAUCUUGAAUGCUUGUGUCUCAGAUAUAUUCAGCAAUUGACUUUGCUUUGUGCUUUCAAAAUUCAGGAGAUUAGCAUUAAGCUUUGGCAACGAUUUAUGCUGUUACCAAAGAUCUUUGGACAAACGUGGAAUUAAAAAAAAUGAACCUGAUGCUAAUGACAUUUGUAGGCCAAAUUCAACUAUGUCAUAAAUCACAGUAAAAGAUGCAUGCAGUGUUGAUCAGAGACAGAAUGAUGAGACAUACAUCCUUACAACAAGAGAUUUGGACCAGCUCUGUAAAUUAAACAGUACGCGAUGACAGCUUUGAGGCGAUUUCGCUGGGUGACAUGGAUGGAAACCAUCCUGACCAUGCAAUUGCAUCAGGUCACAUCUUGGCCUUCACAUUACACAUCCUUGGCAGUCACUUGUAUGACCUUGUCAGAUUUAAAAACAUAAUGUUAGAAAAGUCAUCCUUGGACAGGAGAAGAAAAAAUCUAAACAUGCAGAAAUGCAAGAAUACCAAAGUAAAAUUACAAUACAGCAGGAUCAGAGGAAGAGAGAUUUUCUUGUGUGAAUUUGUCCUUCAAACUGCUGAAAUCCCUGCACGAGUCCAACAUCAGAGUGUAAAAUU